UGGGGAAUAUUGGACAAUGGGCGAAAGCCUGAUCCAGCCAUGCCGCGUGUGUGAAGAAGGUCUUCGGAUUGUAAAGCACUUUAAGUUGGGAGGAAGGGCAGUAAGCGAAUACCUUGCUGUUUUGACGUUACCGACAGAAUAAGCACCGGCUAACUCUGUGCCAGCAGCCGCAGUAAUACAUAGGGUGCAAGCGUUAAUCGGAAUUACUGGGCGUAAAGCGCGCGUAGGUGGUUCGUUAAGUGGAAUGUGAAAGCCCCGGGCUCAACCUGGGAACUGCACCCAAAACUGGGGAGCUAGAGUAGGGCAGAGGGUGGUGGAAUUUCCUGUGUAGCGGUGAAAUGCGUAGAUAUAGGAAGGGACACCAGUGGCGAAGGCGACCACCUGGGCUCAUACUGACACUGAGGUGCGAAAGCGUGGGGAGCAAACAGG
rnacentral:rRNA from 1 species